UACGAAGGGUGCAAGCGUUGUUCGGAAUUACUGGGCGUAAAGCGCGCGUAGGCGGGUCAGUAAGUCGAUUGUGAAAUCCCUGGGCUUAACCUGGGAACUGCAGUCGAAACUACUGAUCUUGAAUGUCUGAGAGGAUGGCGGAAUUCCCGGUGUAGUAGUGAAAUACGUAGAUAUCGGGAAGAACACCUGAGGCGAAGGCGGCUAUCUGGCGGUACAUUGACGCUGAUGCGCGAAAGCGUGGGGAGCAAACAGG
rnacentral:rRNA from 1 species